rnacentral:rRNA from 1 species
GAAGCAGUACCGUAAGGAGCUGUGGACUGCAUGGAAGAGAGAAUGCCGGAAUGAGUAGCGAGAUAGAGGUGAGAAUCCUCUAGGCCGAAUAUCCAAGGUUUCCAGGGUAAAGCUGAUCUGCCUGGGUAAGUCGGGGCCUAAGGUGAGGACGAGAGUCGUAGCCGAUGGACAACAGGUGGAGAUUCCUGUACUAUGAUAUGACAGAACUGUGGGGACACGUGCAGAGAGCGGAAGCCGGGAAUGGGAUCCCGGUGCAAGCGAGGUACCAGCCGCAUUGGAAAAACCGUGCGGCAAUGGGAAGACGUGAUGCGGAGUGAAGUUUAGUAAUGAAGUCCGUGAGCUGUGCGUCAAGAAAAGCCGCUAUUGUUCAUACCAUACCCGUACCGUAAACCGACACAGGUGGAUGAGGAGAGAAUCCUAAGGCCGGCGGAAGAAGCAUUGUCAAGGAACUCGGCAAAAUGACCCCGUAACUUCGGGAGAAGGGGUGCCUGCGAGAGCAGGCCGCAGAGAAUAGGCUCAAGCAACUGUUUAGCAAAAACACAGGUCUAUGCGAAACCGAAAGGUGAGGUAUAUGCUGACGCCUGCCCGGUGCUGGAAGGUUAAGAGGAGAGGUUAGCGCAAGCGAAGCUUUGAAUUUAAGCCCCAGUAAACGGCGGCCGUAACUAUAACGGUCCUAAGGUAGCGAAAUUCCUUGUCGGGUAAGUUCCGACCCGCACGAAAGGCGUAAUGAUUUGAGCGCUGUCUCGACAAUGCAUCCGGUGAAAUUGAAGUACCAGUGAAGAUGCUGGUUACCUGCGCCAGGACGGAAAGACCCCAUGGAGCUUUACUCCAGUUUGGUACUGGGAUCCGGUACUGCAUGUACAGGAUAGGUGGGAGGCUGAGAAUCGGUAACGCCAGUUGCCGAGGAGCCGCUGUUGGGAUACCACC